rnacentral:SRP_RNA from 1 species
GCCAGGUGUGGUGGCACACACUUGUAAUCCCAGCUACUCUGGAGGCUGAGGCAGGAGAAUUGUUUGAACCUGGGAGGCAGAGGUUGCAGUGAGCCGAGAUCGCGCCAUUGCACUCCAGCCUGGGCAACAAGAGCGAAACUCUGUCUUCAAUAUAUAUAUGUAGUUUGUUUGUUUGUUUUUUGUUUUUGAGACAGAGUUUCAUUCUUAUUGCCCAGGCUGGAGUGCAAUGGCACGAUCUCGGCUCACUGCAACCUCUGCCUCCUGGGUUCAAGCGAUUCUCCUACCUU